CGCUGGUUUUCGGGUUGACUUGGUGUGUCGCCUGUGGGUGUCCUGGGGAGUUCGGGGCCUGCACGGCUUCUGUUGUGCUUGUGGGAUGACGUGUGGAGAGCGGCAUGUGGUCGGAGCUGGAGGCCUGGGCGAGGAUGGCAGCCAUGCUGGUUCAUUGCUGAGAGCCCGAGUUCUCAACCGCACUGUGCGGCCGCAGAGUGAUGUGACCGCGUGCGGCUGUGUGUGAAAUGGGAUAUAGAUGUAUGGGGUACAGCCGAGGGUGUGGGGCCGAGGGUGUGGGGGUGCAGCUGAGGAUGUGGGGCCCCUCCUAGCUGGAUGUGGGGGUGCAGCUGAGGAUGUGGGGCCCCAGCAGCGGUUGCAUGUAUAGAUACCAUUAAUGUGUGUUGGGUACAGUGGGGGGUUCAUUCUAGCUGUGUAUAUGGGGGUACAGCUGAGUGAGUUUGUACUAGUUGUAUUAUGGAGGUACAGCAAUGGAUAUUAAUAUAGAUAUUUUUUUUUAAAUGAAUGUAAAUUAGAAAAUUGUUUAACAUCUUAUUGUCUAAAGAGAGAAAUCUCAUUACAAACUAAAUACCCCUUGGCAUCUUUAGAUGUGGCCGGUCAUGUGA